AUGUACUCCAAAUGCUUCUGGAGCAAAAGAAUCCCAUCCAGCAGUAGGGCUUAUUUUUGUCUCCGUGUACAUGUUGGAGGCACUUCUGAUCCAGCAUCACAAGGUGGCACCAUAACAUCGAAUCAAGCCAUGACUUCAUUUCAUUGUUUCAACUUCCCUGAGCUGUGGGGUACCGUAUAGGAUCUGUGAUGCCACAAACAAAAAGAGGAAAACUUGUUAUGGCUGUCUUGUAGAGAUGUUAAUGACACCAAGCAACUAUCAAAUUCUCUUUGGUGGGGAAAAGAAAGAGACUGUUCUCGGUAGAAUUAAGAGAGCAUCAGUAUUGCAGAGGCAGGUACCUUUAACUGGAAAUUCUGCCCUGCUUGUCUGUAAAAAAACGUUUUACAAUCUGAACUCCAAAUGAAAUUCCCUCCUGCCCUGUUCUUUUGAUUGUCUUACUUGCAGGACCCAUGAUCAGUCAGCCUUUGUGUGCUCUGUUGUUGUGAUGUAAAUCACUUGUUCCCCCUAUUCUUUCUCAGUUAAGAUUUGUUCAGAUCCCAGUGUGUUUAUACAUAGAUCCAUGAUGCAUGCCAUAUGUUUUACACAAGCAUCAUUAAUGUGCCAUGCAUGUUUUUGAGUGCAUCCUCAAAAGCCCUGCAGUACAAACCAUGAUUUGAGCACUCUCCUUCAGUUCUAUGUGCAUGAAGGUUGAGGCUGCUUGUGCCUGAAGAUGUCGGCCAACUGUUUUAACCCUGCUAAGAAGGAUAUGGGCACCAGCCUAGCCACUUCCUUGGUGUUCCUACAGCUUUUCUCAACUGAAAUCAGUGGAUGUGGCAGCCUGCCUGGAGCAAGGCAACUCACUACUGUGGGCUCAGACACAGCUUGGGCAGUUCCACAUAGCUAAAGCUUAACACACUAUAGGAAAUGGUAGCUGAUCCUCGAAGGGUGUCUUGUCCUUUAUGUAAAGCUCUGUGAGAAAGCAGGCAUCAGGUGUCUGUUUUCUUUGUGUAAAUGGUUCUCAUUUCAGUCUGAGGAAGUAUUCAUCUGUCUGGUUUCUGUCUGGAAGUCAGAUCCAGCUUUUUAACAGGCCUUUCAUCCCUAGUGGUUCUGAGCUGCUCCUCAUUUCACCCCAGAGGCUGAUCAUUGGUCGUGUUAUUUUAGUUAUCUAAUCUUCAGGGUUACU
rnacentral:lncRNA from 14 species